rnacentral:snRNA from 13 species
AUCACUUCUCGGCCUUUUGGCUAAGAUCAAGUGUAGUAUCUGUUCUCAUCAGUUUAGUAUCUGAUAUGUCCUCUAUCUGAGGACAAUAUAUUAAAUAGAUUUUUGGAGCAGGGAGAUGGAAUAGGAGCUUGCUCCGUCCACUCCAUGCAUCGACCUGGUAUUGCAGUACCUCCAGGAACGGUGCACUCGCU